AUCUCCACAGCAAGCUCCUCAAUUUGACCCGGUCCGUCACGCUUUGGACAUCGCCACCGGGAUCGUUGAGGCCCCAUGAAGACGGCUCUACUUCACUGGGAAGACGCGGUACUCAUUAGCGAGCGUCUGGUGACCAACGAUUCCGGAUUCCCCUGCCUUUCUGCCAUAGUCUACACUUGUCCGUCCAAAUGGUACGGGAUCGGUGAGGCCCCAUGAAGACGGCUCUACUUCACUUGGAAGAUGCGGUACUCAUUAGCGAGCCUCUUGUGACCAACUAUUCCGGAUUCCCAUGCCUUUCUUCCAUAAUCUACACUUGUCCGUCCAAAAGGUCGACCUUGCCAUCAAGUUGGGUCACUCGAU
rnacentral:lncRNA from 1 species